rnacentral:rRNA from 1 species
UGGCGGCGUGCUUACACAUGCAAGUCGAACGAACCUUCGGGUUAGUGGCGGACGGGUGAGUAACGCGUGAGAAUCUGCCCUCAGGAGGGGGUCAACAGCUGGAAACGGCUGCUAAUACCCCAUAUGCCGCGAGGUGAAAUGAAUUUCGCCUGAGGAUGAGCUCGCGUCUGAUUAGCUAGUUGGUGUAGGUAAUGGCUCACCAAGGCAUCGAUCAGUAGCUGGUCUGAGAGGAUGAUCAGCCACACUGGGACUGAGACACGGCCCAGACUCCUACGGGAGGCAGCAGUGGGGAAUUUUCCGCAAUGGGCGAAAGCCUGACGGAGCAACGCCGCGUGAGGGAUGAAGGCCUCUGGGCUGUAAACCUCUUUUAUCAAGGAAGAAGAUCUGACGGUACUUGAUGAAUAAGCCACGGCUAAUUCCGUGCCAGCAGCCGCGGUAAUACGGGAGUGGCAAGCGUUAUCCGGAAUUAUUGGGCGUAAAGCG